rnacentral:lncRNA from 1 species
UUUUAACCUCUUCUUAGCCUAAUUUUGUUGGCCUAAUUAAAUCAUAAGAGGCCCAAGUUAGACAACCCAAUGCCCAUAACCCAACAGAUUUUAUAGGAGAGAAGAUCCUAGCCGAACCCUAAUUUUUGGACACCCAUGGUGGCCUUCUUCUUCAUCUUGAACCUACACACAACACAAAAACCCUAAUAGACUAGAGAAGUCGUCGUCGUCGCUGCCGCCCCCAUCUCCUCAUUGUCGUUGCUGCCAUCUCCAACGAGACCUUUAUCGCCUCUGCAUCUUCCUCUUCUCUUCACCCACCUCCAUUGCUUAGCCACACCCACCAAGCCCUUGAGCGGUUACCUUCUUCUUCAACCAGGAAACAUCAAAUCAAAUCAGCCGCUCCCCGACCAAAAAGCCACCAGCGACUUAAAACAACUUGCCGGAAAAUGAGUUGCAGCCAUCGCGAAACCCACUCUCACCACCAAAACCCGAUUCCAACCAUUUCUUCCCCUAUCGCCGCAUCUGUUUCUCACCUCUAGUGCAGCCGAAAAGGAAUUCAUGAAUUCAUACACUGAAGAGUCUUGCUCUUACAUCCUAAACAUGAAUUUUAUUUGGGAGAAAACUAUUUUAAAACUAAUUUAGACAUUCACAAAUUCAACUACCUCGCUAGAAAAGGAGUGGAGUCGUUUAAAGACGGAUUUAAACAAAUAUAUAAAGUUUGAUAAUCGCUCAAGCACAUUACUAAACUCAAAAUCAGUCAAAGUUGUUGAUUUCUAUUUCGAAAUCUCAAGCUCCUCCGAAAUCUGAAAGCAUUCGUCAAAGGUCGUGGUCUGAGGUCUCAUUCAAUCGGACGUGGAGGCUGCUGUCCGAGUUCAUGUUGUUGUUUUCAUCUUGUUCGUGCUGCGAUUCACUCGAUUUUUGCUUAAAGGUCUUGUACGAAUUUCAAGCGUCGAAGAAAAUCUCAUAACUCCUUUUGAGGUCCAUUCAUGCCUCUGUUCUCGAUUUAGAUUCUGUGCGCAUGCUUGUGAUUGAUUUUUUAUGACAUGAAUGCUAUUUAUAUGUUC